UACGAAGGGAGCUAGCGUGGUUCGGAAUCACUGGGCGUAAAGCGCACGUAGGCGGACGUGUCAGUCAGGGGUGAAAUCCCGGAGCUCAACUUCGGAACUGCCUUUGAUACAGCACGUCUUGAGUCCGGAAGAGGUGGGUGGAAUUCCUAGUGUAGAGGUGAAAUUCGUAGAUAUUAGGAAGAACACCAGUGGCGAAGGCGGCCUACUGGUCCGGCACUGACGCUGAGGUGCGAAAGCGUGGGGAGCAAACAGG
rnacentral:rRNA from 1 species